rnacentral:ncRNA from 1 species
UUUCGGUGCCCGCCCUGAACACGGGAUGGGGUAAACGGGAAGUCGGUGAUGCCAUCUGGUGGAAUCCGACGCUGCCCCCGCAACGGUGAUUGAGUCAACGACAGUCGAAGUGCCACUGUGCAUUAUGCAUGGGAAGGCGAUUGUUGAGAGGUGUCCCCUCGCUCAUCAGCCCGGAGACCGGCCGAAUU